CACUCUCCAAAGCAAUUGAGUCUGGUUGCAUCAUGAGUGCAGCUGCUCCGUAACAAACUGAAGUUUGAAGCUGAGUACUGUGUUCACAUCAGACCCUCAGGACAAGUGGCUUCAUAUUUCCAGCUUUGAUUCUGGCUCGCUCCUGUGACUGAGACAUUUUUAUCCGUGGAAAAGGAGUUCCGUCCUAUAAUAGAGAUUUUUUUUUUACCCGGGUGGAAAGUGUCCACUAAAUCGUUGCUGAGCGCUCCUUUGAGAGACCCGUAUCUGAUUCCAGGCUGAUGUGGCCCUCCUGAGGCCAGUUCUUAAUCUUGUAAGUGAUGGAAAAGCAGGACAAUGACCAAGAGCAUCAGAAGUCUCCAGACUGGACAGAAGAACAACUGGACAAGGAGGUGAAAGUGGAAUAUUCUCCAACAUUGUUGGGACAAACUUUCCAAACAUCCAUCAUUUCCAGCUCUGGAAAGAAUGCUGUGAAUGUGUUUGGCUGCUGGAUGAGUCCAAAACACUUUUAGGUUGCCAAGAUUUAUAUAUUUGUUCUAUUCUUAAAUUCAGAAACACAGACAUUACACUAUGUGUGCAUUUUGGAAUAAGAUGGAAAACUGUAGGUGUUCUAAUACCUUUGACGGUUUGGGACUGAGCAUUUAUUUCCUUCUGUCUUUGUUAAUUGAUUAACACUUUUUUCGAUAGCUGUUCUGAUUAAAUGAUCAAUAGCUGAUUAAUAAUUUAAAUAAUUAAGGUAAUGUCUUUGUUCCAGCUUCUCAGAUGUGUUGUCCCCCCCCCCCCCCGUCUUUUAUAAAUUUUACAAUUUAUUACAUAAUCUAUUAUCGAUUAUAUAUAUGUGUGUGUGUGUGUGUGUGUGUGCGCGCGCAUGUGCUGAUAAAGCCAUACAAUCUGACACCAUUAGAAGAAUUUGACACAGAAGCAAUGUAUUAUUUAUCUCAACUUGUAUUUACCUUCAGAGCACAGUUCCUGCACUGAAUACAGUUACAGUUUCAUGACUGAGGAAACUUACAGAAACUGGGAUAUUUCCCUUUUAUGUCAUCAUCACUCUAAGUUCAUUAAACUUAAGUCUGCUCUCACA